rnacentral:ncRNA from 1 species
CCCGGGGCGCGAGCCCGGGCGGAGCGGCCGUCGGUGCAGAUCUUGGUGGUAGUAGCAAAUAUUCAAAUGAGAACUUUGAAGGCCGAAGAGGAGAAAGGUGUCAUGUGAACGGCACUUGCACAUGGGUAAGCCGAUCCUAAGGGACGGGGUAACCCCGGCAGAUAGCGCGAUCACGCGCAUCCCCCGAAAGGGAAUCGGGUUAAGAUUUCCCGAGCCGGGAUGUGGCGGUUG